UACGGGGGGAGCAAGCGUUGUUCGGAUUUACUGGGCGUAAAGGGCGCGUAGGCGGCCACCGCAAGUCGACUGUGAAAUCUCUGGGCUUAACCCAGAAAGGUCAGCCGAUACUGCGGGGCUAGAGUGCAGAAGGGGCAACUGGAAUUCUCGGGUGUAGCGGUGAAAUGCGUAGAUAUCGAGAGGAACACCUGCGGCGAAGGCGGGUGCUGGGCUGACACUGACGCUGAAGCGACGAAAGCUAGGGGGAGCGAACGGG
rnacentral:rRNA from 1 species